rnacentral:rRNA from 3 species
AUCUGGCUCUUCCAGAGUCCGAGUUGUAAUUUUGAGAGCUGUUUUCUGUGCUGGACCAUUUCUAAGUCUGUUGAAAAAUAGCAUCAUUGAGGGUGAUAGUCCCGUUCAUGAUAUGGACUACCAGUGCAAUGUGAUACAGUCUCUAAGAGUCGAGUUGUUUGGGAAUGCAGCUCAAAGAGGGUGGUAAAUUCCAUCUAAGGCUAAAUAUAGGUGAGAGACCGAUAGCAUACAAGUACCGUGAGGGAAAGAUGAAAAGAACUUUGGAAAGAGAGUUAACAGUGCGUGAAAUUGUUGUAAGGGAAACAUUUGAAGUUAGCCUUGUGCUUGUUAGUUCAGCCCUUCUUUAGGGUGUAUUCUAAUAUUGUCACAGACCAACAUCAGUUUUUGGGUGCUGGAUAAGGGUCCUGGAAAUGUGACAGUUUAGGCUGUGUUAUAGUCCAGGAUUUAGAUACAGUGCCUAGGACUGAGGUAUGCAGCAAGC